AUGCAAUUUGUUCUUGCCGAGGAAUACACCCACCAAAAACGAAGUUCCCCUGUUCCCGCGUGUAACAGAGCAUAGCAGGAGCAGAGGCAGAAGAGACCACUGAAGAAGCGUACGCACUUGACCCUUUAAUGGCGCGGGGGAAGGCGAAGAAGAAGGAAGAAGAAGACACUGAAAUCAUAAACCCAGAAACGUUGGAGCGCAAGAAGCUCAAAUCUUUGGCCUUUGCCAACAACAUUCUCUCGGAGACCCCUGCUAGCAGCUCCGUUCUACUCAAACCUUCCUCCGUCGUGGCCAAGCACCACGGCAAAGACAUCAUCAAGAAGUCUCAGAGGAAGAGCAGCAGGUAUCUCUUCUCCUUCCCGGGGCUAAUUGCUCCCCUUGCUGGUGGCAAGAUCGGUGACCUUAAGGAUUUGGGAACCAAAAACCCUGUUCUCUACCUCGAUUUCCCCCAGGGUCAAAUGAAGCUUUUUGGGACCAUUGUAUAUCCAAAGAACAGAUACUUGACUCUACAGUUCCCUAAAGGUGGAAAGAGUGUAAUGUGUGAGGACUAUUUUGAUAACAUGAUUGUAUUUUCGGAUGCAUGGUGGAUUGGGAGGAAAGAUGAAAACCCUGAAGAAGCCAAACUUGAUUUUCCUAAGGAAUUCUAUGAGGGGCAUCAAGCUGAAUAUGACUUUAAAGGGGGUGCCGGUGCAGCUUCUGUAGUCAAUCAAGGGGUUCCUAGAUCCAGGAUUCAACAUGCAGAACCAGAGUCACCAAAGACACCCUCUGAAAAUGAAUUGUCUUACAGUGAACUAAAAUUAGAAGAUACAAAGGAAUCGGGUCCAUCCCGGCAGUCAACAAGAACUGCAGGAAAAUCAUACAAAUUUGCUGAGAUUUCGGCCAGUGAUGAUUCUGGUGAAAACAGCCCUGACAUUUCUGAUCAUGAGGAGAAAGUGGAAGAAGUUGAUACUGCUGUAAAUGAUCAUAAUAGCUCAAAGAAAGAAACUGUAGUUUUUGACCUUGAUAAGGAGGAUGAUGCACUGGGACAUCCACUCAACCAGGAAAAUAAUGAGUCAGUGUCUCAAUCUACUUCAGUCAGUGCAUCUACUAAAGUUAAGUCCAGUAAUCGUGGUUCCCUUGUCCAAGCUACUAUAUCCACAUUAUUCCAGAAAGUGAAUGAAAAGAAGACUACAAGAAAUUCAAGGAAAUCUCCAUCAUCAAAAGCUUCUGGCCAAAAGUUGCAGCCUGCUGGUUCAAAACGAAAGAUUGAUCUGGAUGAAGGACCCAAGAAAAGGGGAAGAAAGCCUAGGAACAAAACUACUGCAUAUAAUCAAAUCAAUGGAGGAAAACGAAGGAUUAUUGCAUGGUGAAAAAAUCAAGGCGAAAAGCAAGCAAUCCGAUGAUGAAGAUGAUGAUGACAUUGAAGAAAUUUCAAAUGCUUCAGAGGAUAAUGGAAGUGAUGAAGAGUGGACUGCUUGACCAUAAUCUAAGUUGUGGUUGCUAGGAACAAGAAAUGACAAGGCAAGGUCAUGCAAGUGAUGUGAUGAUACCCUUUAUUUCUGUCACUAAGAACGUGACAACUUGGAUUUGCUUACCAUGUGGUUUUGAUGGAAUUAUGAGAAUAGGUAUAAUACCAAUAUCAUGAGGUUAAGAGGAAGAGAGAAUAUAAUCUGUUUAAUGUAUACUGUUGAAAGUGAUGUCAUUUAACUCUUUAUCUCAUUUGGGAGUCAUUUGAUGUAUUCUAAUCAAUUUUAAAGUGAUGUCA